rnacentral:rRNA from 1 species
UACGUAGGGCGCAAGCGUUGUCCGGAAUUAUUGGGCGUAAAGAGCUCGUAGGCGGCUUGUCACGUCGGGUGUGAAAGCCCGGGGCUUAACCCCGGGUCUGCAUUCGAUACGGGCUAGCUAGAGUUCGGUAGGGGAGAUCGGAAUUCCUGGUGUAGCGGUGAAAUGCGCAGAUAUCAGGAGGAACACCGGUGGCGAAGGCGGAUCUCUGGGCCGAUACUGACGCUGAGGAGCGAAAGCGUGGGGAGCGAACAGG